CAGCAGCCGCGGUAAUACGUAGGUGGCAAGCGUUGUCCGGAAUUAUUGGGCGUAAAGCGCGCGCAGGCGGCCUAUCCAGUCUGUCUUAAAAGUUCGGGGCUCAACCCCGUGAUGGGAUGGAAACUAGUAGGCUAGAGUAUCGGAGAGGAAAGCGGAAUUCCUAGUGUAGCGGUGAAAUGCGUAGAUAUUAGGAAGAACACCAGUGGCGAAGGCGGCUUUCUGGACGAAAACUGACGCUGAGGCGCGAAAGCCAGGGGAGCGAACGGGAUUAGAUACCCGCGUAGUCCCUGUCCUUAUACAC
rnacentral:rRNA from 1 species